rnacentral:rRNA from 1 species
GGCUCAGGAUGAACGCUAGCGGCAGGCUUAAUACAUGCAAGUCAGGGGCAGCAUGGUGUAGCAAUACACUGAUGGCGACCGGCAAACGGGUGCGGAACACGUACAGAACCUUCCUUCGAGCGGGGAAUAGCCCAGAGAAAUUUGGAUUAAUACCCCAUAGUAUAGCGGAGAGGCAUCUCUCUGUUAUUAAAGAUUUAUCACUUGAAGAUGGCUGUGCGGCUGAUUAGGUAGUUGGCGGGGUAACGGCCACCAAGCCUGCGAUCAGUAACUGGGUGUGAGAGCACGACCAGUCACACGGGCACUGAGACACGGGGCCCGACUCCUACGGGAGGCAGCAGUAAGGAAUAUUGGUCAAUGGACGAAAGUCUGAACCAGCCAUGCCGCGUGGAGGAUGAAGGUCCUCUGGAUUGUAAACUUCUUUUAUAUGGGACGAAAAAAGGUCUUUCUAGAUCGUCUGACGGUACCAUAUGAAUAAGCACCGGCUAACUCCGUG